GGAAGGAUCAUUAUCGUAGGGCUUCUGCCCUGUCGAGAUAGCGUCCUUGCCUAUUUUUUGGAGUACCUUUUCGUUUCCUCAGCAGGCUUGCCUGCUACUGGGGACCCUUUAAACUCUUUGUAAAUACAGCAUCUGUCUGAAUAAACAAACAAAAAAUCAAAACUUUCAACAAUGGAUCUCUUGGUUCUGGCAUCGAUGAAGAACGCAGCAAAAUGCGAUAAGUAGUGUGAAUUGCAGAAUUCAGUGAAUCAUCGAAUCUUUGAACGCACAUUGCGCCCUUUGGUAUUCCUUAGGGCAUGCCUGUUCGAGCGUCAUUUACACCCUCAAGCACAGCUUGGUGUUGGGCGUCUGUCCUCUGGGACUCGCCUCAAAAAGAUUGGCAGCCACUUCAGCGGCUUUGAGCGCAGCAGAAUUGCGUCCUCUAGCAGCGGAAGGCGGCAUCCAAAAGCUUUCUUUCAUUUUGACCUCGGAUCAGGUAGGGAUACCCGCUGAACUUAAGCAUAUCAAUAAGCGGAGGAAAAGAAACCAACAGGGAUUGCCCUAGUAACGGCGAGUGAAGCGGCAACAGCUCAAAUUUGAAAUCUGGCUCUCGGGCCCGAGUUGUAAUUUGUAGAGGGUGCUUUGGCGUUGGCUGUGGUCUAAGUUCCUUGGAACAGGACGUCGCAGAGGGUGAGAAUCCCGUAUGUGGCCGCCAGUCUUCGCCGUGUAAAGCCCCUUCGACGAGUCGAGUUGUUUGGGAAUGCAGCUCUAAAUGGGAGGUAAAUUUCUUCUAAAGCUAAAUAUUGGCCAGAGACCGAUAGCGCACAAGUAGAGUGAUCGAAAGAUGAAAAGCACUUUGGAAAGAGAGUCAAAAAGCACGUGAAAUUGUUGAAAGGGAAGCGCUUGCAGCCAGACUUGCUUGUUAAAACUUGCAGGCCAGCAUCAGUCCGGGCGGUUGGAUAAAGGCCUAUUAAACGUACCUCUCUCGGGAGGACUUAUAGGGUAGGUGACAUGCAACCAGCCUGGAUUGAGGUCCGCGCAUCUGCUAGGAUGCUGGCGUAAUGGCUGUAAGCGGCCCGUCUUGAAACACGGACCAAGGAGUCUAACAUCUAUGCGAGUGUUUGGGUGUCAAGCCCGAACGCGUAAUGAAAGUGAACGGAGGUGGGAACCUUUCGGGGUGCACCAUCGACCGAUCCUGAUGUCUUCGGAUGGAUUUGAGUAAGAGCAUAGCUGUUGGGACCCGAAAGAUGGUGAACUAUGCCUGAAUAGGGUGAAGCCAGAGGAAACUCUGGUGGAGGCUCGCAGCGGUUCUGACGUGCAAAUCGAUCGUCAAAUUUGGGCAUAGGGGCGAAAGACUAAUCGAACUAUCUAGUAGCUGGUUCCUGC
rnacentral:misc_RNA from 1 species